UACAGAGGUCUCAAGCGUUGUUCGGAUUCAUUGGGCGUAAAGGGUGCGUAGGUGGCAGGGUAAGUCGGAUGUGAAAUCCCGGGGCUCAACCUCGGAACUGCAUUCGAUACUGCUUGCUGGAGUACUGGAGAGGAGAUUGGAAUUUACGGUGUAGCAGUGAAAUGCGUAGAUAUCGUAAGGAAGACCAGUGGCGAAAGCGGAUCUCUGGACAGUUACUGACACUGAGGCACGAAGGCCAGGGAGCAAACGGG
rnacentral:rRNA from 1 species